rnacentral:rRNA from 1 species
UACAGAGGGUGCAAGCGUUAAUCGGAAUUACUGGGCGUAAAGCGUGCGCAGGCGGUUUUGUAAGUCUGUCGUGAAAUCCCCGGGCUUAACCUGGGAAUGGCGAUGGAGACUGCAAGGCUAGAGUUUGGCAGAGGGGGGUAGAAUUCCACGUGUAGCAGUGAAAUGCGUAGAGAUGUGGAGGAACACCGAUGGCGAAGGCAGCCCCCUGGGUCAAGACUGACGCUCAUGCACGAAAGCGUGGGGAGCAAACAGG